UUUCUUGGGAAACGAAAAAAAAAAGAAAAGGAAAAAAACUAUUUACAAUAAUUGAAAUUAAUUAGGACUACCCCAUCUCUCUUCCUAUUGAUAUGUUAAAUGUAUUUAUUUAGUGGAAAUUCUCAUCUAUUUUUAGCUUAUGUUUGAUAGAGGGUAAUAAAAUUAAAUCAAAUAUUUUAUUAAAAUAUUUUAUAGAAUUUCAAUAGACAUAUUAAGUUAAUAAAUGAGUGUUAAAUAUGAGUGGGUGUCGGUGUUUAGUUGAGAGAAUAGAGGACUAACUGAAUGUGGCAGAGUCAGGCAUGG
rnacentral:misc_RNA from 1 species